UACGUAGGGUGCAAGCGUUUAAUCGGAAUUACUGGGCGUAAAGCGUGCGCAGGCGGUUUGUAAGUCUGUCGUGAAAGCCCCCGGGCUCAACCUGGGAAUUGCGAUGGAGACUGCAAGGCUUGAAUCUGGCAGAGGGGGGUAGAAUUCCAUGUGUAGCAGUGAAAUGCGUAGAGAUGUGGAGGAACACCGAUGGCGAAGGCAGCCCCCUGGGUCAAGAUUGACGCUCAUGCACGAAAGCGUGGGGAGCAAACAGG
rnacentral:rRNA from 1 species